GACGAACGCUGGCGGCGUGCUUAACACAUGCAAGUCGAACGGUAAGGCCCUUCGGGGUACACGAGUGGCGAACAGGUGAGUAACACGUGGGUGAUCUGCCCUGCACUUCGGGAUAAGCCUGGGAAACUGGGUCUAAUACCGGAUAGGACUCCGGACUGCAUGGUCUGGGGUGGAAAGCUUUUGCGGUGUGGGAUGGGCCUGCGGCCUAUCAGCUUGUUGGUGGGGUGAUGGCCUACCAAGGCGACGACGGGUAGCCGGCCUGAGAGGGUGACCGGCCACACUGGGACUGAGAUACGGCCCAGACUCCUACGGGAGGCAGCAGUGGGGAAUAUUGCACAAUGGGCGCAAGCCUGAUGCAGCGACGCCGCGUGAGGGAUGACGGCCUUCGGGUUGUAAACCUCUUUCAGCAUCGACGAAGCGAAAGUGACGGUAGGUGCAGAAGAAGGACCGGCCAACUACGUGCCAGCAGCCGCCGUAA
rnacentral:rRNA from 1 species